UACAGAGGGUGCGAGCGUUAAUCGGAAUUACUGGGCGUAAAGCGCACGUAGGUGGCGACGUAAGUCGGGUGUGAAAGUCCCGGGCUCAACCUGGGAAUUGCAUUCGAGACUGCAUUGCUGGAGUACGGAAGAGGAGGGCGGAAUUCCCGGUGUAGCGGUGAAAUGCGUAGAUAUCGGGAGGAACAUCAGUGGCGAAGGCGGCCCUCUGGUCCAGUACUGACACUCAAGUGCGACAGCGGGGGGAGCAAACAGG
rnacentral:rRNA from 1 species